UUGUUCACUUAAGAUUGUCCGAAAACCUCAAAGACGAGUCAGUUCCUAUCUCUCAUCUCUCAUACAUAACCCUACUGCAGCCCUAAGAGUUCUUCCAUUUUCACAGGCGAUUGACCUCCCAAACACCACCAAAAAUCAACCCUACACUCCCCAUAAUCCUCCAUGUCCUAUGACGGUAUUAAUUUCUGCAAAAUCUCCACAAUUUCUCAAUCUCGGAUCUCACAAUAAAAUAUUGAAUCUAUUGUAGUCUUUGAAUUCAUCAUACAAGGCCUGGGUUCAUAUUCUCCCAUUGUUAAAGAUUAUUUUAGGCCUGAAACGAGUGUUAGUUGGUUGUUCUCACAAAAAUAGUCGAUUAACACUCAUUUUGGGUUUAAAUAAGAAGAGCUUAGCCUGAGUCAUUUGUUACAAGCUUUAGGUAUUUCUAUUUUCCUUGGGUCUUUUAUCCAUCUUUUUUUAAUCUAUCUAUCCGUUCUUUUCUAGGCCUUCUUCUCCUUUUUUGUCAAAAAUGAAGAUUGUUGGCUUUCCUUUUUGUAUGCGUAACCACAGAAUUGUGUAAAUUGCCAAAUGUCCUAAAACGACUUAGCAUUUGUCACUGAACCGUUGAUUCCUCUGUUUAAUUUUGUUACAACUCUAUGGUCUAUCUUGAGUUAGUCCUUUAUGAUUGUUUUGAUUUUACUGGGUCAGAUUGUUGCUAUUUUAUUCUUCUUCUGAAAUUUGCGAUGUGUCGGGCCUUGGUUAACUUGGGGCCUGCAUUGUAUGCAAACAAGCUCACUAGUUAAAUCCCAAAAGGUUUGUGAGGGGGUUCGGAUUGGUCAGUUGUUAAUGGGUUCCACUUCUCAACUGGGGUUGAGGUAAUUAUCAGGUGUUUAAGGGGUAGUUCAUGGGUUUUAACUUAGGGACUCUUUCUGUAACAGAAAUGGGAAGCUUCUUAAAAGCUGGCUUUGGGGCUAAAAUGAAGUUGGAUUUUUGAACUGAGGCUUUUUAAGCAAAAUCGAAAAUUGGAGAGGGGUUAAGAGAAAAUUUUAAACCUAUUUUUGCUGCCCUAACACCCCCGUAUAAAAACAUCAUUUGCUAAAUUUUUUAUGGGGAUUAGAUCUGGAGAAUUAAAAAAUGGCAAAAGAGAAUUUUGCACAAUGAGAAUGUACGAGAACAAGAAGAAAAAUAAAAGAGAAAUAAGAAAAGACAAGGUAACGUUGAAGUAUCUUGCAAUUCUUGGGGUUUUAAAGUUCUGAAACGAAUUUGGUGUUUAUUUUGGGUUGGAAAUGGUUUGAAAGCUGCUUUGUUGGUUGGGUUCUGGGUAGAUAUCAUUGUUGUUUGGUUCAUUUUUACUGGUUUGAGCUGCUGAUUUAUGGGCACUGUUGCAUUGGAUGUUUUGGUUGGUUGUUUACUACCUCUUUACCUCUUUUCCUUUCAUUUCUUGGUAUUCUUCAGCUCUAUGGAUAUCACUUGAUAUGUAACUCAAAGCAUGGGUUUGAAAAUGAGACGAAAUGUGAUGCUCUUUUUUUUUUAUUGAACUUCAUCUUUCUUCUUUCAACUUCAUGAUCAGCAUGUAAUAGUUGAAUUUUGAUUGGUGUAUUCAUCAAAUAAUGGGUUGUAAUUUAAAUCUAGAUAAUGUUAGCUUAGUAUAUGUUCUCUUAUGAUUUUGUUAUCAGAAUCUGCAAUCAGUGAGAUUUUGCCUUAUGUUCUCCUCUUUUUUUAUCUAUGAGUUUGAUUUGUAUUAGUGGGUAAAUCAAAAGUUUAGCUCUUUCGGUUUGCAUGAGUAACCUCUUUUGGUUUGUAUGAGUUAGCUCUUUUGGUUUGCAUGAGUUGGAC
rnacentral:lncRNA from 1 species